AACACACACAAAUAAACACACACACAAACAAACAAACAAACACACACAUGCUUUCAUUUUCAGGGUAAACAGUCAGGGGCUGGUGAAUUUCAAUGUCAAUGGGGAGCGGAGGGAAAACACAACAAUUUCUCAAUUAAUGGGUUAAACUUCUAUCUCCUGACUGGCAAAAUCAGCCCGAUCUGAGGCUGAGGGGUAAAAAGGCUGUACAAGGGCUGAGGGACCAGUGCAAGGUCACAGGGAUUGUGCUUAGAAAUCAGCCCUGCACUUCAGUCAGACAUGUGAAUACCUGUGAGAAAAAUUAAAACUUCAGUGGUCGCAAAACUGGUCCCAGAAUUCACUUUUUUUUCAGGUUAACUAUUUUCUAUCUCAGCAGCCUUCUCCUUGUACUUUCAGCCACAGGGUUUGGCUCCUGUAACAUACCAAGGCCUUUGCCUUCAUAGCAGUGACACCUCAAUCGACUGUGCUUUGUCUGACUCCAGUUGAUUUCCUCGAAGCCCAAGCUCAGUGUGAAGACUGCUCCUCCUUCCAACCAGGGGGAAGAUGUGCAGAUUCCCACAAAGGUGGUGCUGUGUGAGUUCCUGUAACCAAAUGGAACAGAUGAGAGUUGGAAACACGUUGACCAGAAUUCCAAGGAGACCACGUUUGAACGAGUGGAUAACAGAUUUCGACUUGUUACAGUCACCACUAGAGGCACAGGAGUUACCCGGCUUGUAUCAGCAGGCUGUGUCUGGAGGAUCUCCUUCAGCCUGGGAAUACAAGAUUAGAGAUUCUGGUCUAACCUACCUUGCCCCAAGACUGACUGACCAGUAUCACCUUCACAAACAUAUGAUGACUUCAUGACCUUUUUCUCCAACUACUGAGCACAAAACCAGCCAAAGGGUACCUGGCCUGCCUUAGCUCCAAGCAGCCAGUUUUGCAAAGAUAAGUUCUGCUUUAGCCUCUUUUGUUCAAGUCCCUGUGAGCUGUGGGUUUAUGUGCUUUAUCUGUCAAUCUAAACUGAGCUUCCUGCUGCUACUGGAUGGUGUUUUGUCACUGCCUGUGACAGUAGGCUGUAAACUGCAGGCUAACUAACUCUUAAGGCCACAAGGUACUCACACUAAAUCAGCCAGAUUAUGCUCCUGCUGCGGGGGAAUUUCCAGGUCACAAAUUGACACCCUCUCAUCACCUUUUUGCACCAAGAGUGUAUAAAGUCAAGUUAAAACCUGGUGCAUAAGGGCAACAGUUCACAGAACUCCUGAAAUGAGUAGUCACUUCCUCAUGUAUAUUCUCAGAUACCCAGCAGAGCUAGUCAAGUGUCUCCAGCUUUGUUUCUGCCAGUAAGAAAGAGAGAAUACACUAAGAUGCCUUUUAAGGACAUUCAGGAAUAUACUGGUGUAUAAAAAAGAGGAAGAAAAUGCAAGAGGGUUCUAAAAGCAAUUGUGGCUAAUUUUGUGAAUUGCUGAUAGACUUGUGUUUGUUUGCAGAGGGAAAAAAAACAAACCCACAAAACCCCAAACUGUUUUAUUUAAAAGACUGUAUAUCUUUGACUUGCAUAAAAGGAAGAAGUUUGGUUUUAUUAGUUUUCCAAGACUACAGAAAAUCUAAAUGACCUUAGUUCCAAAUAAUUCUCGUAUCAGUAAAGUCUCAUUUCAAGCAAAUCUCCUUCAGUUAAAGGAAAUUAUUGCAAGGUAACAAUGGAAUGUAAAUUAUGAGCUGAGCAGCUGUGUCUUUAUAUCAAGCACUUCUGUUUUAUUCAGAUUAUCUUUUAUUCCCUUUAAAAUUAUUUUUUCUCCUACCUUGAGUUAAAAGAGAGAAAUUUUGCUGCUCCUCAGUUUUGCAGAUGUGUGUUAAGGUUGUUACCCUCUCUGUCAGUGAUGCAGAGAAUCAUUCUGAUUCACCUUUGCACUGUGUUCUUAUUGAAGGCCUGCUGAGAAAGGGACCCUGCUGUGCCAAAGACUGUGCAGACAGAGAGACAGAGGAUUUCUGUUCCCAAGGGCUUAUAAUUAGCUACAUUCACACAUACAUUGAGCAGAACACCAGUCCUCUCAGCCACAGACAUCAGAGAACUCCAAAAAAUGGGCUUAGGCUUGGAGCAUUAAUGAAGAUAUGAGAUGUUGACCAUGCUGACUUCUGGACUCCACAAAACAAGAAGCUAAAAGCAAGCUGCCUGGAGUGAGGAGAAGAGAUACUUUUUUUUUCUUCCACUUUGGAACAAUUAGGAGGAAGACAUUAUUCUUUUCUUAUGCAGAUUUCCUUCAUAAAAAACACUGCAAAUUACCAGGUAGCUUAGGUACAUAUAUAGUUUAACAAUCAAAAAUGAGGAACUGGGACUGACUUUGUUCUUAUGUAGAGAAAAAGCUGAUUCCAAUGUCUUUUCCAAGUCAGCUUUCUUGCAGUUUACUGGAUGUAGGAAGUGCUGGGCAUCUGAAAUAUGAGAGGAUCUCCUUUGGGUCGGAUGUUCACAAGAUACAGCACAAGCAGUACAGCUGUUUGUAUUGCUGCUCCUGCUGUGCACACAAUUGUCAUUGUUCAUGCCACUGAGCAAUGUGGUUGUGCAUCAAACUGGAAGAAUAUCCAUCUACUUCUGACUGAAGGGCAUUGACUUGGCACAGAGAAUCUGGGCUGCACAGCUGAAGUCCUCUUCACCCCUGCAGGUUGUAUGGGGGGGAGCUAUAAGGCCUUCACGUGCCCCAGGUUUGUGCUGUUCUGUACCUGUCAAAACAGAGAGAGGUGCAUCCCAUGAUAACUGGAUGACAUUUGGGGAUGUUUAUGUUGGCCAUUUCAACACAAUUUUGAUAUAGUUUGAUAUAGAGUUCUUAUAAAUCAUUUCAUAACAAGACCUAUGGCCCAGGUUGGUGUUAGGAAAUCUUUCACUUUAAGGAAUCAUCUACUAUAAUCUUCAAAUAAACUAGAACUAAUUUAACAAGGUAAAUAAUUCUUGUCAAGGGAACCUUCUCCAUAAAAUAUGCAACCUGUGAUCCUCAGAAACUCUACACAACCACUUCUGUUUAUUUUCUGCUUAGCCCAGGUCUAGUUUGAAUUAAACAGACCAGAUUACUCACUGCAUUACCUAACCCUCUGUAUUGUUUGUAAAGGCUUGCAAUCUGUGUUUAGUGAAAACUGCAGAGGAGUAGAGCAAGUCUGUAACUGAAUAAAGGAGUCAAAUGGUAGAAUUCUGUCUCUCACUGAACAUCAA